rnacentral:snRNA from 1 species
AUACUUACCUGGCAGGGGAGAUACCAUGAUCAAGAAGGUGGUUUUCCCUGGGUGAGAAUUAUCCAUUGCACUACAGAUGUGCUGACCCCUGCGAUUUUUCCAAAUGUGGGAAACUUGACUGCAUAAUUUGUGGUAGUAGGGGACGGCAUUUGCAUUCUCCCC